GAUAGAGCACCUGCUUGAGGACUCAACCCGUCCACUGGAAGAGAGAAAUAAUAGACAACAUAUUUUUUUAAAGCAGGGAACUUUAUUACAAUAAUUUAAAAAAAAACACUCCACAGUUUAAAUAAAUUAUGGAAGUAGAAAAUUAAAUAAUUUAAGAUAACCAUCUCCAGGGAGGGGAGGAUAUACUGAAAGAAUUUGGGGAGGCGCAGGAAAACUUGAGAUAACACAUUAGUUCAAUACAAUCUCAACUUUCUCUCUACUGCCGUUAUUAGGCAUAUCCAAAUAAAGUCCAUCAAAUUACUGGAUUAAAGGGCUGUUGGAAUGCCCUAGAGGAAUUUGCUACAUAGCAAUAGCAAUAGCACACCCCUCUAUUUAUUGUU